GUCUGGCAAUGGCUAUAGAGUAACUAAGCACAAACAAGGGUGAUGACUAUCAAUGAAGAAUGUUCUGAGCCAGGCAGACACCCCAGAAAAUGCAUCUUACAACUGGCUAAAUAGCUUUCUCGAAAAUUAGAAAGCACAUGAGGAUGAAAUUCUAAACCAUUUGGCAUGUCCUAAUUUCUCUUAAUGCCAAUGGUGAUACAUAUGAAACCAUAAAUUGGGACAGAGAUUUUGACAAUUUUUCAGAAUAUUUAAAAUUAGAGCCAGAAUUAGAAAUUUCUGAGUUUAUACUUAUAACAUCUAUACCUCAGCCUGCCUAUUUUAAAAUGAAUUGUGAAAAUAAAAAUGUGCUUUAAUGACAGAUUAAGUAGAAAUACACUUAAAAUCACAAAAGAUUAAUUUAAAUUUGACAUGCAGAAAGACUCCUGACUAAAGUUGGAGUCACUGAAAUAGAUUGGCAUUUGUAGAGAUCACUUCUUUCCUAGAAAAUGACCCUUGAGUAAUAACGUAGAUCUAGCAAGAAUGUUUAAUAUCCUGAUUAGAACAAGCAAGCCAAACACUGAGACAUCCAUGCUUGGAGAGGGAGAAAGGCCCCAUUCGACAUGGCCAAGACAAAAAGGUGGGAUCAUGGGUUAGCUCAAACCCGCCUUAACCAGAGCAAAAAGGAGGAGAGUUUUACAGGGCUAAGGGGCUUGGCAGAAGGAGCUUCGAAGAAACAAACAGGUCACUCCUGAUAAGUCUCUUGGCAGUCUGCAAAUGCUGCUGGAGGCCAGCCAUCAGGUGAUCGCAACCUCCCUGAAGCAUUCUCUUUCUUCUGCAAAACGAACUAACAAAUUCUCAAGACCCAGCUCAUAAAUCCUCAAGACCUGGGUAACUCCUCAAGUUAAACAAGGAAACAGCAAAUUGACAAGAUUCAUAACAAGGUCCAAAGGCAAUCACGUUCUUAUUGAAUAUCUACAGUAACCAUCAGGUACCUGGCUUCACUCUUCACAGCAUUAAAAAAAAAAAAAA
rnacentral:lncRNA from 1 species